CUGGAACCUGAUAUGCAUACGUUCCUCCCUGUGUCCCCGAGAAGAUCUUCAAACACUUCCUUGAUCUUGGCCACCAGCUCGGCCUUGGUAUUG